AGUGAACGCUGGCGGUAGGCCUAACACAUGCAAGUCGAACGGCAGCACAGUAAGAGCUUGCUCUUACGGGUGGCGAGUGGCGGACGGGUGAGGAAUACAUCGGAAUCUACUUUUUCGUGGGGGAUAACGUAGGGAAACUUACGCUAAUACCACAUACGACCUACGGGUGAAAGCAGGGGAUCUUCGGACCUUGCGCGAUUGAAUGAGCCGAUGUCGGAUUAGCUAGUUGGCGGGGUAAAGGCCCACCAAGGCGACGAUCCGUAGCUGGUCUGAGAGGAUGAUCAGCCACACUGGAACUGAGACACGGUCCAGACUCCUACGGGAGGCAGCAGUGGGGAAUAUUGGACAAUGGGCGCAAGCCUGAUCCAGCCAUACCGCGUGGGUGAAGAGGGCCUUCGGGUUGUAAAGCCCUUUUGUUGGGAAAGAAAAGCAGCAGGUUAAUACCCCGCUGUUCUGACGGUACCCAAAGAAUAAGCACCGGCUAACUUCGUG
rnacentral:rRNA from 1 species